rnacentral:rRNA from 1 species
GAGAAGGAGGAAAGGCGGAGCAAUCUGUCACUUGUGGAUGGGCCUGCGGCGCAUUAGCUAGUUGGUGGGGUAAUGGCCUACCAAGGCGACGAUGCGUAGCCGACCUGAGAGGGUGAUCGGCCACACUGGGACUGAGACACGGCCCAGACUCCUACGGGAGGCAGCAGUAGGGAAUCUUCCGCAAUGGGCGAAAGCCUGACGGAGCAACGCCGCGUGAGUGAUGAAGGUUUUCGGAUCGUAAAGCUCUGUUGCCAGGGAAGAACGUCUUGUAGAGUAACUGCUACAA